rnacentral:rRNA from 1 species
UGGGGAAUCUUGGACAAUGGGCGCAAGCCUGAUCCAGCCAUGCCGCGUGAAGGAUGAAGUAUUUCGGUAUGUAAACUUCGAAAGAAUAGGAAGAAUAAAUGACGGUACUAUUUAUAAGGUCCGGCUAACUACGUGCCAGCAGCCGCGGUAAUACGUAGGGACCAAGCGUUGUUCGGAUUUACUGGGCGUAAAGGGCGCGUAGGCGGCAAUUCAAGUCAUCUGUGAAAUCUCCGGGCUUAACUCGGAACGGUCAGAUGAUACUGCUUUGCUAGAGUGCAGAAGGGGCAAUCGGAAUUCUUGGUGUAGCGGUGAAAUGCGUAGAUAUCAAGAGGAACACCUGAGGUGAAGACGGGUUGCUGGGCUGACACUGACGCUGAGGCGCGAAAGCCAGGGGAGCAAACGGGAUUAGAUACCCUUGUAGUCCCUGAGCGGGCUGGCAAGGCGCAU